rfam:Schistosoma mattheei strain Denwood, Zambia genome assembly, scaffold: SMTD_scaffold0000442
GCACUGCUGAGGAGUCCCAUGGCCGGACGAAACGGCCGUCCAGUGC